rnacentral:rRNA from 1 species
AUUGAACGCUGGCGGUAUGCUUAACACAUGCAAGUCGAACGAUGAGAAAGAGCUUGCUCUUUCGAUUAGUGGCGGACGGGUGCGUAACGCGUAGGAAUCUACCUAUUAGUGGGGGACAACUUAGGGAAACUUAAGCUAAUACCGCAUACGCCCUAAGGGGGAAAGAAGGCGAUCGCAAGACCUUUUGCUAAUAGAUGAGCCUGCGUAGGAUUAGCUAGUUGGUGGGGUAAAAGCUCACCAAGGCGACGAUCCUUAACUGUUUUGAGAGAAUGAUCAGUCACACUGGAACUGAGACACGGCCCAGACUCCUACGGGAGACAGCAGUGAGGAAUAUUGGACAAUGGGCGAAAGCCUGAUCCAGCAAUACCGCGUGUGUGAAGAAGGCCUUAGGGUUGUAAAGCACUUUCAAUUGGAAGGAAAACCUCGAAGCUAAUACCUUCGAGUUUGACAUUACCUUUAGAAGAAGCACCGGCUAACUCCGUGCCAGCAGCCGCAGUAA